rnacentral:rRNA from 1 species
GACAAACGCUGGCGGCGUGCCUAACACAUGCAAGUCGAACGAGUAAAGCCCUUUCGGGGGUGUAUAGAGUGGCGUACGGGUGAGUAACACGUGGGUAAUCUACCUUUGGGUGGGGAAUAACUCAGGGAAACUUGAGCUAAUACCGCAUAAUGCAGCGGCUCGACAUCGAGCGGUUGUUAAAGAUUUAUCGCCUGAAGAGGAGCCCGCGCCUGAUUAGCUAGUUGGUAGGGUAAUGGCCUACCAAGGCUGCGAUCAGUAGCUGGUCUGAGAGGACGGC